rnacentral:rRNA from 1 species
GGAAUAUUGGUCAAUGGACGAGAGUCUGAACCAGCCAAGUAGCGUGCAGGAUGACGGCCCUAUGGGUUGUAAACUGCUUUUAUCAGGGGAUAAAGUGCGGGACGUGUCCCGUUUUGUAGGUACCUGAUGAAUAAGGACCGGCUAAUUCCGUGCCAGCAGCCGCGGUAAUACGGAAGGUCCGGGCGUUAUCCGGAUUUAUUGGGUUUAAAGGGAGCGCAGGCUGAUGAUUAAGCGUGACGUGAAAUGUAGCCGCUCAACGGCUGAACUGCGUCGCGAACUGGUUAUCUUGAGUGAGUUCGAUGUUGGCGGAAUUCGUGGUGUAGCGGUGAAAUGCUUAGAUAUCACGAAGAACUCCGAUUGCGCAGGCAGCCUUCCAGUCCGUUACUGACGCUAAAGCUCGAAGGUGCGGGUAUCGAACA